rnacentral:lncRNA from 1 species
GGUGACUUAGUUGGUUAAGCAUAUGCUUUCAGCUCAGGUCAUGAUCUCAGGGUCCUGAGAUUAAGCUCCCUGCUCAGCAGGUCAGUUUGUCCCUCUCCCUCUGAUCCUCCUUUUUCCUUGAGCUCUCUCUCGCUCCCUGUCUCAAAUAAAUAAAUAACAUCUGAAAAAAAUAAAAACUGAUGGUUUUAUAUUAAGAAAGGUGAGUGGGCAUGAAGGGUACAAUAUAGCAUAAGAUAUUUGAAUAGUAUGGUUUCAAAAGUUUGAAAAUUAAAAUGGUGUGUUUUCUGCCUUUCCUCUCUUUACCUUUUCCUCAAAGGUAAUGAUUGCAUUGUAUUUUACACAAUUCACCACAACAGAGCUGGGAAGAAAAAGACUUUAUUGUGAAAAGAGAGACCGUUUGCUGGUGAACAAUUUAGUGAUUCAACAACUCUAUAUGUUAUGCUGGCCUCACCUCAAGUGUAAUUAGCAUCUAUUGCUGUAAAAGUUAUUUAUAGUAUUAUUGACUAUAUUUCCUAUGCCACUUUUUAUCCUUGUGACUUAACUUAUUUUACAACUGUAAGUUUGUACCUCUUAAUACCCUUCACCUAUUUUGCCUAUCUCCCUACCAUCCUCCCCCCUG